AGACAAGCUCUUCAAGGCGGGAGCGUCCUUCCAGAGAGGCUGUGACAAGUGCUUUUGUCACGAGUUUGGCUUCUUCUGCUUUUCGCCAAAUAAGCCCACGUCGUGGCCUAAUAAGUGUCAGCGGCUGAUGACAGAGUGUGGCUACAGGGUCGUCUACAAGCACAGCCCAGAGCUGGAGUGUCGGGCCUAUAGCUGGAUCGGUUGAUUAUCCAGCAUUCUAUGCCUCUGUCUGCACAAUAUAUAGACAGCAAGAACUGUCAAUAUCACCUUCAGAGACGGUUAAAUCUACAGUACAGCUUCACAUUGAUGCAAAAUAAUUUCCUAAUGAAAUAAGUGUAAUAUAGUCUUUCUUCCAGGACCUAAUUGCUGUACUUGCAUACAGUUCCAGUGUAUUGGGUUCAAUAUAAGUUCAUUCAGAUAGUGAUAUUAUCUGUUCUGAUGUUCACACCCAAAGGCUCUGUUCUAUUGUUAAUUCUCGCUCAAGAAGGAGAUUGCUCAUGAAUGGUUGGUUGUUGUAAAAACAUCAGCAUCUUUUUGUCUUAAGGAAAUGUAUAUAUUUCAUAUGUAUAUGCUUGUAAAUUAAAUGUUAUUAUUCUUUUUCCAUUAAAGAGCUCCCUCUUA